UACGUAGGUCCCGAGCGUUGUCCGGAUUUAUUGGGCGUAAAGCGAGCGCAGGUGGUUUAUUAAGUCUGGAGUAAAAGGCAGUGGCUCAACCAUUGUAUGCAUUGGAAACUGGUAGACUUGAGUGCAGGAGAGGAGAGUGGAAUUCCAUGUGUAGCGGUGAAAUGCGUAGAUAUAUGGAGGAACACCGGUGGCGAAAGCGGCUCUCUGGCCUGUAACUGACACUGAGGCUCGAGAGCGUGGGGAGCAAACAGG
rnacentral:rRNA from 1 species